UAGGCUUAUAAUCCUCAACUAUAUGGGAGACCUUAUAGAAAUGAAGAUAAAAGUAAAAUGGAGAUAAAAGUCCCAACUUGAAAGAGGUUUGUUCCUGACACAGAUCUACUCCACUGACCCCAUUGGCAGCCAGCAGAAGUGGAUGGAGGAUGGGGCUAUUGGGUCUGAGAGUUCUUUUGUGCCUAAGCAAGGACAUCUUUUCCCAGACCCUCCUGAAGUGUAUAUUUUGCAUUGUUUGCCCUGGUUGCAUUGCCAGCUUGGUUCUGUUAGUCAUCAUUUGCUCACUAUGUUUUGGUUUAAUUGUCACAAAAUCCCUAUGAAGAAGACGUUAUUAUCUCCACACCAGGAAAUCAAGACUAUGGACCAUUAACUGCUUUCCCAAAAGCACACAACUAAGAAAGUGGCAGGGUUGGGAAUCAAGCCCUUGCUGUCCACAGGACCAGACCAAGACAUAGGAUGCCCAAGGGCAACUAAGAAUUUUGCAUAACUUCAAACUGAUAUUCCAUAAGCACUUUUUAAAAAAUAUGCGCUUAACAGUUAUCUAGUGUGCUCUAGCAGGAGACCCCAUACAAGGGUUAUACGAGGAGUUGUAGAUGGAGACCAGUUAACUAGCACCGAUUUCCUGAGUUAUAUCAGUGGUAUUUUAGUGCCAGUGUGGACUGGUACCCAGGUGCUUCCAGCUGGGAUUAAUGUAUUCAGUUCUCACUGCACUCCUGUGUCUCUCAGAAAAUGAUAACACCCUCACCCCAUCUUCUACUCCUGAAAGUGUCUCGGAGGUUAGUUCCUCAUUUGGGUAGUCAGUAGGUGAUGCUCCAGAUUCCCCCUACUCACUGCUGCUUCCAUCUGACAGUAUCACUGUUAUCGACAUCAUACUGCAUAUACCAGGUCCUCAUACAAUACCUUUGCACGGGGAAGUGGGUAGGGAAAGGAAUGGGUUCUGCAGCCAAAGAAUAUUUGGUUGUUAAAGAAAAAAGUUUUUCUAGGUGACAUGAUUAGCUUUGUUGCACGUCUGAAUCUGAGAAAGAGAAAGAGAUCUGACUUAAGGAAGUUCAGUUGCACACGUUGAAAUGAAUAUAUUUCUAUUUGUUUGACUUGAGCAUUUUGUUCUUUAUAUAUGUGUAUUCAUACAGUAAUGUAACAAAUAUAAUAGAGAAUAAUAUAGGUUAAAAUCCCCAUCUGAGAUCAUUGUAAAUAAUGUAUUCUAUGAAUUACAGCCAUUCUCCUAUCCCCAUCCAAGGUUUCCGUUUCUAUGGUUUCCAUUACCUGUGGUCAAC
rnacentral:lncRNA from 1 species